UAGGGCACUCUAAUGAGACUGCCGGUGACAAACCGGAGGAAGGUGGGGAUGACGUCAAGUCCUCAUGGCCCUUAUGGGUAGGGCUUCACACGUCAUACAAUGGUCGGUACAGAGGGUUGCCAAGCCGCGAGGCGGAGCCAAUCCCACAAAGCCGAUCGUAGUCCGGAUUGUUCUCUGCAACUCGAGAGCAUGAAGUCGGAAUCGCUAGUAAUCGCAGGUCAGCAUACUGCGGUGAAUACGUUCCCGGGUCUU
rnacentral:rRNA from 1 species